UACGGGGGGGGGCAAGCGUUGUUCGGAAUUACUGGGCGUAAAGGGCGCGUAGGCGGCCUGCUAAGUCGGAUGUGAAAUCCCUCGGCUCAACCGAGGAACUGCAUCCGAUACUGGCGGGCUUGAAUCCGGGAGAGGGAUGUGGAAUUCCAGGUGUAGCGGUGAAAUGCGUAGAUAUCUGGAGGAACACCGGUGGCGAAGGCGGCAUCCUGGACCGGUAUUGACGCUGAGGCGCGAAAAGCUAGGGGAGCAAACGGGG
rnacentral:rRNA from 1 species